rnacentral:rRNA from 1 species
AAUGAACGCUGGCGGCAUGCCUAACACAUGCAAGUCGAACGAAGCCUUCGGGCUUAGUGGCGCACGGGUGUGUAACGCGUGGGAAUCUGCCUUGGGUUCGGAAUAACAGUGAGAAAUUACUGCUAAUACCGGAUGAUGUCGAAAGACCAAAGAUUUAUCGCCCUGAGAUGAGCCCGCGUAAGAUUAGCUAGUUGGUGGGAAAGGCCGUAACCAAGGCGACGAUCUAGUCUGGUCUGAGAGGAUGAUCAGCCACACUGGGAC